rnacentral:misc_RNA from 1 species
AAGAGAUCAUGCCCUCACGGGUAGACCUCCCACCCUUUGUAUACCAUACCUUUGUUGCUUUGGCGGGCCCGUCGGGCCCUGCGUCCGACCACCGGCUCCGGCUGGUCCGCGCCCGCCAGAGGACCCAAAACACUGAAUAUAAUGCCGUCUGAGUACUAUAUAAUAGUUA